rnacentral:rRNA from 1 species
UACUUCUUCGGACAAUAUACAAGGUGCUGCAUGGUUGUCGUCAGCUCGUGCCGUGAGGUGUCGGGUUAAGUCCCAUAACGAGCGCAACCCCUAUCAUUAGUUGCCAUCAGGUCAAGCUGGGGACUCUAAUGAAACUGCCUACGCAAGUAGUGAGGAAGGUGGGGAUGACGUCAAAUCAGCACGGCCCUUACGUCCAGGGCUACACACGUGCUACAAUGGCCGAUACAGAGGGCAGCUACCUGGUGACAGGAUGCAAAUCUCCAAAGUCGGUCUCAGUUCGGAUCGGAGUCUGCAACCCGACUCCGUGAAGUUGGAUUCGCUAGUAAUCGCGCAUCAGCCAUGGCGCGGUGAAUACGUUCCCGGGCCUU